GGUAGCGUGGCCGAGCGGUCCAAGGCGCUGGAUUUAGGCUCCAGUCCCCGAGGGGACGUGGGUUCGAAUCCCACCGCUGCCA
rnacentral:tRNA from 1 species